GGAGUGGUGGAGCGGCCGGCCCAAGUCUGUAGUAGGUGAGCGAUGGGGUGACGCAGGAAGGUAGUCCAGCCCGGGCGGUGGUUGUCCCGGGGUAAGGGGGUAGGACGAACGGUAGGCAAAUCCGCCGUUCACGUAGUCUGAGACAUGAUGCCGAGCCGAGUGUGGCGAAGAGGAUGCUCCUAUGCAGUCGAGAAGAGCCUCCAGCGAGUUCCAUGGCGGCCCGUACCCCAAACCGACUCAGGUGGUCAGGUAGAGAAUACCGAGGCGUUCGGGUGAACUAUGGUUAAGGCACCCGGCAAAAUGCCCCCGUCACUUCGGGAGAAGGCGGCCCAUCC
rnacentral:ncRNA from 1 species